rnacentral:rRNA from 1 species
UACGUAGGGGGCGAGCGUUGUCCGGAAUUAUUGGGCGUAAAGAGCGUGUAGGCGGUUCGGUAAGUCUGCCGUGAAAGCCCAGGGCUCAACCCUGGGAUGCCGGUGGAAACUGUCGGGCUAGAGUCCGGAAGAGGCGAGUGGAAUUCCUGGUGUAGCGGUGAAAUGCGCAGAUAUCAGGAGGAACACCAAUGGCGAGGGCAGCUCGCUGGGACGGUUACUGACGCUGAGACGCGAAAGCGUGGGGAGCAAACAGG